UCUGUAUUGUCUGUUACAGUGUUUCUAUAUCAUUUUCUUUACAAAGUUUACAUUGAUACGAUGUAUUUAAAAUUUAUAAAAGAUUCACACAGAAAUCUUGGGAUGACCGUGAAUGCAGUUACGGUCAUCAGCUUUACCCCAGUAAACCAUCAUCUUAAGGGUAUGUUGUUUCAAUAAUGUGUCCAAUGACCUCGUCCACGAACCAAGAUGGCAGACAUGGCUAAAAAUAGUACAUAGGGUUAAAAUGCAAUUUUUGGCUAACAUAUCUCUGAAUUCAAAGCAUUAAGAGCAAAUCUCAUCUGGAUCUGCCCCUGUCUUGACAUAUGUUAUUUAUUGUUCAGAAUUACUCUUUGAAAGCAACACUGACUUUUAUUUUUCUAGAUAUAAAGUCCAUUUUCUUAUUUAAAGAUGCCUGAACUAAAUGGUUUUACUAUGUGUAAAUCUUUAUAGGUUUUUUUUGGGGGGAGAGCAUUUUAAGCAGUGAAUUCUUUGUUUUGUUCUCUCUUAUAUCAAGUUGAGGAAUAUACUCAAAAAUACUAGCAAAGAAAACCAAAUCUGUUUUCUUGGAUGUCAAUGAUGCAAUAUGUGCUGACUUAACCAACUUCACUGAUUUAAUUUAUUAUUAUUUUAAGUUUCGUAAUUUGCCAAG
rnacentral:lncRNA from 1 species